ACGGUUACAUCAUGUUCAAACACCAGCUCCUGUGCGAUCACCAAAGUUAAGCAACUUCAAAUCUGGUCAGUACCUAGAUGGGUGACUGCUUGGGAAUACCAGAUGCUGUAAG